UCUCUGCUCUUUUCUCUAUCCAAGAACCAAGAAUGUACAUCAUCAUUUCAUUUUGAAUGAAGAAAGCACGAGGAGUUUAACACUCAGGAUUCAAAGCAGGAAAAGAGGAAGAGAAACAUCGUACAGAAAGUGCAGCCGAGAGAAAUGGGAACCUAAGGUCGAGAAUCGCUGAUCGCGCUCCUCGGUCACCAACUUUCGUCUCUAAGACUCGCUACGUCAACGAUCCUACUCACCGUUGUUUAAUCGACUGUCGCGGAUUCCCCGGCUUGGGCGAGUCGUCUCGCGGUUCAAUGAACGUCACGUUGACAGGACAACACCCUCGCGAGCCCGAUCUCGUCUCUGGUCACGAUAAAUCGCACUCUAUUCACCAUCCAACACUCCCGACGAUAUGGCGAACGAUUAGUUCGUGUUAUCGUAUAUAGAGGGGACGGCAACUCUCCCAGGACCGUAGCGCAAAAAGGCGCUCCUCAGUUUUUGUCGCACCAUAAAAAAAAAAAAAAGUAUACUCGGGAGACAAUUCUUUUUGGAUUCGUUUCAACAAAUUUGUCUAAUUAAGUCGAUUUGCAUUCAAAAAUUUUAUGUGAAUCGUAAUAAAAUCUUCCGUCUUUAUCAUGCAAAGAAGAUAUGAGAUUUUUAUGAUUUAUUUCAUUCUAUAUCAAAGUAAAAAAUUUAAUUAAUACAAUUAAUAAUUUAAUCAUUAUACAUAUAAUAAUUAAUUUUUUUUUAUCUUGUUAAUAGUUCUGUGAAUCUAAGAAAAUUUAAUAAAUAUAGAUAAAAUUCAUGUAUAUUUUAUUUAUUCAAUAAACACGAGAGGGAAGAAAAA